rnacentral:rRNA from 1 species
GACGAACGCUGGCGGCGUGCCUAAUACAUGCAAGUCGAACGCUGAAGGAGGAGCUUGCUUCUCUGGAUGAGUUGCGAACGGGUGAGUAACGCGUAGGUAACCUGCCUGGUAGCGGGGGAUAACUAUUGGAAACGAUAGCUAAUACCGCAUAAUAGUAGAUGUUGCAUGACAUUUGCUUAAAAGGUGCAAUUGCAUCACUACCAGAUGGACCUGCGUUGUAUUAGCUAGUUGGUGGGGUAACGGCUCACCAAGGCGACGAUACAUAGCCGACCUGCGAGGGUGAUCGGCCACACUGGGACUGGGACACGGCCCAGACUCCUACGGGAGGCAGCAGGAGGGAAUCUUCGGCAAUGGACGGAAGUCUGACCGAGCAACGCCGCGUGAGUGAAGAAGGUUUUCGGAUCGUAAAGCUCUGUUGUUAGAGAAGAACGAGUGUGAGAGUGGAAAGUUCACACUGUGACGGUAUCUUACCAGAAAGGGACGGCUAACUACGUG